ACGGAGGGAGCGAGCGUUGUUCGGAUUUAUUGGGCGUAAAGGGCAUGUAGGCGGCUUCGUAAGUCGGGUGUGAAAUCCCACUGCUUAACGGUGGAACUGCAUUCGAAACUGCGAGGCUUGAGUUCAGGCGAAGAGAGCGGAAUUCUCGGUGUAGCGGUGAAAUGCGUAGAUAUCGAGAAGAACACCAGUGGCGAAGGCGGCUCUCUAUCCUGAAACUGACGCUGAGAUGCGAAAGCCAGGGGAGCGAACGGG
rnacentral:rRNA from 1 species